GUGGGGAAUAUUGGACAAUGGGCGAAAGCCUGAUCCAGCCAUGCCGCGUGUGUGAAGAAGGUCUUCGGAUUGUAAAGCACUUUAAGUUGGGAGGAAGGGCAGUAAGUUAAUACCUUGCUGUUUUGACGUUACCGACAGAAUAAGCACCGGCUAACUCUGUGCCAGCAGCCGCGGUAAUACAGAGGGUGCAAGCGUUAAUCGGAAUUACUGGGCGUAAAGCGCGCGUAGGUGGUUCGUUAAGUUGGAUGUGAAAGCCCCGGGCUCAACCUGGGAACUGCAUCCAAAACUGGCGAGCUAGAGUACGGUAGAGGGUGGUGGAAUUUCCUGUGUAGCGGUGAAAUGCGUAGAUAUAGGAAGGAACACCAGUGGCGAAGGCGACCACCUGGACUGAUACUGACACUGAGGUGCGAAAGCGUGGGGAGCAAACAGGAUUAGAAACCCUAGUAGUCC
rnacentral:rRNA from 1 species